rnacentral:misc_RNA from 1 species
AAGUCGUAACAAGGUUUCCGUAGGUGAACCUUCGGAAGGAUCAUUAACAAGUGAAUGCUACUGCUCUACUGCGGUAGAGUGUAGUCAUUAAUAAUGAUAAUAAUCAUAAUUUGUUGAACGAUAGUCGCUCGUUUUAGCGUAAAGCUAAAAACUUAUUUAUGUUAACGAGUAUGCUAGUUGGUUAAUGAUGUGCGUGUGCGCUUAUUUGCGUGCGUGUACAUAGAGCGAGUGAACUACUGACUGCUGCUCGGGGUACGGCCCGUAGUGUAAUGCUACGGUGAGUCGUACCUGUAUCAUUUUUAAAUUUGAGUAAUAAAAUUCGCGUACGCGUGCUUAAGCCGUACGUGUAGACUUGUAAAAGAGAGAAUAAUAAUAAAAUGCAUAGCUGCAUCACUCUGCUCACG